rnacentral:lncRNA from 1 species
CUUUCUUUUGGGUUGCACGAUGAGCUCAUUCCAUUUCAAAGAGUUGUAGGAGAAAUAUGGCUCACUUAGCUUUUAAAAUGAGGAUUCAAUAUAAUUAUGUCCCACCUUGUUCCACUCAGGAUUCUAUAUUUUAGAAUUAUUUAAGAUUCAUUGUCGUUCCCAAUGUAAAGCCUAAUGGGAAUGAUGGGUUGAAACUUUCCUACUACUGAAGACAAUAUCAUAGAAACAGAAAAUUAGUCAGAUUCAUUGUUAAGAAAUGAAUAAGCAUGGCUUGAAUUUUUCUUUUAUAAGAAACUUUCUACAUGUUCCUGACAAGUCCAAUGAUCUCUUUGAGGCUCAGCUUUCCAUUUGGUAAGUUCAGAUGGUGGGAAUUUUAUUUAUCAGGACUCUUUGGCUUCCAUGUUACAGAAUCCAACUAAAACCGAUUUGAGCAAAAGGGAGAAUUUAGAAGACCCAACAGUAGAAAUCCUGCUGGACUUGAGGUAGAACUGGAAAUGGAGACCUGAGCACCAUUAGGACUCUGUGUACUUCUUGCCUCUUUGACUUUUUGGGACAUACUAGGAAGGAACCAGACUUGGGUGAUGAAAAAGACACACUGUAUAAUUUAUACAUACGAUGCAACAUGCAGAAAGCUGCUUUUUCAACUGUUGAGAGGAGAGUCCUAACAAGAGGAAGUUGCCUCGUUAUGCUCUCCCCACUUCCUUCCUGUGGCUGUGUCAUUCCUGAGUCUGGGUCAUCCAGCUGCAUCCAGGAGUCUCAAAGGAUGCCGUGGAAGUGAGUCGAGGUCAUGACCUCUUCAAAGCCAUAGCUUUUAGUUUUGAUUUGUAUUUAAAUUAAUCAGAAAGUCUAAGAACUGACAUUAUCAAAGCUGACAUCUCA